GCCUACGGCCAUGCUACCCUGACACAGGCCUGAUCCUGUCUGAUCUUGGAGGCUAAGCAGGGUCGGGCCAGGUUAGUACUUGGAUGGGAGACCAUCCAGGAAGACCAGGUGCUGUAGGCA
rnacentral:rRNA from 1 species